AUUUUCUAUCAGAAGCUAAUGCAGGAGAUAGCGGUAGGAGACUAUGUUCAUGUUCAGCCUGCAUGAAACACUCAGUGACACGUUAGAAUCAGAAAUAAUCAUUUAAUGUAUUUUUUUCAGUGAAGUUGACCUACGGUAUGUAUUGACCUACAACAGAUUUGUUAGAUUUCCAAAAUGUGUCCCCCCCAAUAUUAAACUCGUCCCUACGCCCUUGAUUGUCUGUGAAGGUUCUCAGUCAUCCAGGUCAUUGUAGUCUAAUGAGCUUUGAAAGAAAAGCGUCUGGACUUCUUAAAGUUGCUUGAAGGCGUUUCACCUCUCAUUAGCCAUUAUUCUUCUUUACACUAUAUUAGAGUAAAGCAAAAAGAUGCAGUGGCUUCUUAGGGGUACAAGAAAUAAUUUUUGGGUCACUGCUGUUUAUUGGCUUUGUUUCUUUGAACAGCUGUUGAGCUCUUUGCCUGCCAAUGUUAAAUUACAGUGCCUCAGUACAGACUUGUCAACCUCACGGACUCACAGACUGUAAACAGUCUCUCUUUAGUUUCUUCUAAAGUAGAAAAGUUGACAACCACCAAGCUGGCUGAGAACAUGAUCUGUUUUAAUGUAACCUUCCUUCCAACAUGAUGGAGACAUGCAUAUUUAAAAUGACACAAUGUUUGAUAGCUUGUGAAUGGGAGUAAUAUUUAAUGUAAAAAGCUUUUAUUGUGAAAACAAAUACGUAAAGAUUAUUAAGUGAAUCUACUGGGUCUUAUUGUUUGAAUAUCUGUGAAAAUGUUUUGGUGGUUUCCCAGCAGAGAGGAUAAAAACACACCAGCUUCUCUUCAAAAGGCUAAAAAGUUCCCCUGAAUCAGCAGUGUUGCUGGCCUGCCAUCACGAUUUCUAAAUUUGAAAUCAUCGCUGUCUCUCCACCUUCUCAAAAGCGUUUUUCGGUGCUCGCUGAUAACCAGAGCUCUCCUCUCCCUUCAGGCAGAGUGAGGGCGAGGGAGAAAUGCAGAAAAACAUCCAAACGUCUUCCUCCAUCAAAGGAGGGAUUUCUUGCAUCGCUUUUGUAAAUUCUCUCAUUUUUGAGGUUGCACUGGAGCAGGACUUGGCGUGGGUGACUCAGAGCCAUCUAGGAAAUGAGAUUGUCGGUACCCAUCACCGAUCCGCCAGCUCAACAGCUACAGUCGGAGGUGAGGUCAGACACGUGAUGUUAUGGCUGUUCUUGCAAGCGAUUGCUAGCAAAGUCCACAUGCGCAAACUCAGAACAGAAGCAAUUUCUCUAUCUUGUUCUCUCUGUCUCAAAAUACACACGUGGACACACAAAUCCCCUCACAAACACUCACAUCUAGGUGUACCACCUGUGCCCCCACCCUCCCUCCACAUCCCGCUCUAAUCCACUUGAAUGUAGCUGGAUAUUAGAUUAGAAAGUUAUAGAUGUGAUUAUUCGUCCCUGGGCACAGUCAUCUAUUUGCUGAUUAAAACAUGAACUUGGGGCCAUUAUGUAACUGGCUAAAGAGAUUAAACCUAGUCACCCUCGUGGGGGCCUGCUCUCCAUUGUAGCUUGCAAUAGAAAGAACACGGACAACGGCACUCCUGACGCCAGGUUAAAUGAACCUCUACAGGGGUAGAAGAGUUAAAGUGCUGGCUGCGGGUUCUUCAGGAAGUUUUGUGUCUCUUCAUUUGUUUAACGGCACAAUACAAAAAAAAACUCAAAUAAUUUGCUGCACUAAUGACGUCAAAUUUUUGACUCAAAAGUGAAAAGUGCUUCUUCAAAUUGGAGCAGCUGGAAUACGGAAGUUUCCAGUCGCUGUGUGCAUUCAAGGCAGCUUUGUGUUCCCUGUUGCUUGUUGAAGCUGCUUUUUAUGUGUUUCCGAUGAAAGCAGACAGUAUUUUUGAUUUUAAAGGUUGAAUAUGGAACAAUAUAAUAAAAAGCUACAUGUUUUUUUUUAAAUAAUACUUUACGAGUUGUUUAGAGGUGUGCAUAAUGAAGGUACAAUUUUUCCUUUAAAGGCUAUAUUUAAAUAAAAAAAUUAUCAAACAUUUAUUUUGACGGGCACAACACUGGGUUUAUGUUUACCAGCCAAUAGAGGGCACUAUGUCAGGACGUGCCGGUGAGUGGAGCGGAGGUGAGGAUCCAAAUGCAGGGGAGAAGGCAGGCAGGCAGACAGAAACCUUUUUAGAGGGAUUUUAAUCACGGACACACGGGACAACAAGAGACACAGAACUGGAGGGGUUUAAAUACAGGAGGACUGGGAGCUUGGGUGAUUGGGAAACGAGAGGCAGGUGGGAGCAAUCAACAGAGACACAGGCUGAACCAAAUGGGGAGACAGGACAGGGUGUGACAGUACCNNNNNNNNNNNNNNNNNNNNNNNNNNNNNNNNNNNNNNNNNNNNNNNNNNNNNNNNNNNNNNNNNNCCCCCCCCCCCCCCCCCCCCCCCUCAAAGGGCAGCUUCCAGACGCUCACAGGAACACAGAGCAGGGUGGGAGGAGGGGGACCCGGAGGGAGGACCAAGAGGGACCGAGGGGCUGAUGGAGAGGAGGCAGGGACCAGCAGAGUCCGGGGGCCUGUGUCUAGGGCAGAGGAGGCGAAGACGCCAGGCUCUUGGGGGCCUGCAUCUGUGGCAGAGGAGGCGGCGACGGGCUCUUGGGGGCCUGCGUCUGCGGCAGAUGAGGAGGAGACGACAGGCUCUUGGGGGCCUGCGUUUGCGGCAGAGGAGGCGGCGACGGGCUCUUGGGGGCCUGCGUCUGCGGCAGAUGAGGAGGAGACGACAGGCUCUUGGGGGCCUGCGUUUGCGGCAGAGGAGGAGACGACGAUGGGCUCUUGGGGGCCAGCGUCUACGGCAGAGGAGGAGGUGAGGACAGGACACAGGAGACUGAAACACGUGGGGCACUGGAGACUCUUGAGAGGACGUAGACAGGGACUCUUGAGAGGAGGGGAGGACGUCAUCCUCUUGGACCGGAGACGUCGACCCUUUGGUUGGAACUAUGGGCAUUGUCUCUGUAGGCUGGACCGGGGCCAAAGUCUCUGUAGGCUGGACCAGGGACAAAGUCUCUGCAGGCUGGACUGGGGACAAAGCCUCUUGGA
ensembl:lncRNA